UACUCCUACGGGAGGCAGCAGUGGGGAAUUUUGCGCAAUGGGGGAAACCCUGACGCAGCAACGCCGCGUGGAGGAUGAAGGUCUUUGGAUUGUAAACUCCUUUCGAUCGGGACGAUUAUGACGGUACCGGAAGAAGAAGCACCGGCUAACUCUGUGCCAGCAGCCGCGGUAAU
rnacentral:rRNA from 1 species